rnacentral:rRNA from 1 species
GACGUAGGGCGCGAGCGUUGUCCGGAAUUACUGGGCGUAAAGGGUCUGUAGGUGGCCAACUAAGUCAGACGUGAAAUCCCUCAGCUUAACUGGGGAACUGCGUCUGAGACUGGAUGGCUCGAGUGCAGGAGAGGAAUGCGGAAUUCCAGGUGUAGCGGUGAAAUGCGUAGAUAUCUGGAGGAACACCGGUGGCGAAGGCGGCAUUCUGGACUGCAACUGACACUGAGAGACGAAAGCCAGGGGAGCAAACGGG